GACCGUGCUCACUCAGCAGAGAAUCCUGCUCGGCAGACUCUUGUCCAACUUUGAAGGAGACACAGCUCCUUCAUUUUUCUCCUCACGUUGCAAACCAACUUUUCUGGUCGGACCUGACCGUCACCUCCCCUCGGGGCUCCUACUAUGAGAGAUAAGUGGCGUAAGAAACGUAUGCGUCGUCUGAAGCGGAAGAGGAGGAAGAUGAGGGCAAGGUCCAAGUAGACGAUUCCUAUUGCUGCCUGCGCCAUCGUCUCCCCUCCGCCUCCCACCGUUGGUGCGAAAGAGACGGUGUUUGCAGUUAGUGGACGGAAAUCACCAUCAUUCUAUUACUACUUGAACUUGUCCAGUUUGUUACGGUUUAAAGAAUAUUGAGCAUUGUUAACUUUUAUGUACUUGGCUCCUAAAUAAUUUGUAGGCAUUUUGAUUUUAUACUUUAUGUCAGUUUCACAUUGUAAUUGAUGCAUUUUUCUCAAUGUUCUGAUCUCGUCAUCUUAUCGAAUAUGAGAGUAAAGUCAAAAACGUCUAUGAAGUUAA